rnacentral:lncRNA from 1 species
GAGGAAUCAGAGAGGCUUACCAUUGCUACGAAAUGGAGAGGAAGUGGAGAGGAAAGAAAGAGUGAGCGCUCGGGUGUAUAUAUAAGAUUACAUAUCGUCGCAAAUUUGUCGUAAGUUUACGACGAAAUAGCGAGCAGUUACAUAGACCCGUGUUUUUUUUAACGAGGAAAUUGCGAGGAAUCACAAAGGCCCGUGUUUUUGUUUACGAGGUAUUUACGACGAUUUUACCUACGUGGAAUUAACGAGGCUUGCUUUCCUAUAAAUAUACCCACAACU